rnacentral:rRNA from 2 species
UACGGAGGGUGCAAGCGUUAUCCGGAUUUAUUGGGUUUAAAGGGUCCGUAGGCGGAUCCGUAAGUCAGUGGUGAAAUCUCAUAGCUUAACUAUGAAACUGCCAUUGAUACUGCGGGUCUUGAGUAAGGUAGAAGUAGCUGGAAUAAGUAGUGUAGCGGUGAAAUGCAUAGAUAUUACUUAGAACACCAAUUGCGAAGGCAGGUUACUAUGUCUUAACUGACGCUGAUGGACGAAAGCGUGGGGAGCGAACAGG